GACGAACGCUGGCGGCGUGCCUAAUACAUGCAAGUAGAACGCUGAAGGAGGAGCUUGCUUCUCCGGAUGAGUUGCGAACGGGUGAGUAACGCGUAGGUAACCUGCCUGGUAGCGGGGGAUAACUAUUGGAAACGAUAGCUAAUACCGCAUAAUAGCAGUUGUUGCAUGACAACUGUUUGAAAGGUGCAAUUGCACCACUACCAGAUGGACCUGCGUUGUAUUAGCUAGUUGGUGGGGUAACGGCUCACCAAGGCGACGAUACAUAGCCGACCUGAGAGGGUGAUCGGCCACACUGGGACUGAGACACGGCCCAGACUCCUACGGGAGGCAGCAGUAGGGAAUCUUCGGCAAUGGACGGAAGUCUGACCGAGCAACGCCGCGUGAGUGAAGAAGGUUUUCGGAUCGUAAAGCUCUGUUGUAAGAGAAGAACGAGUGUGAGAGUGGAAAGUUCACACUGUGACGGUAUCUUACCAGAAAGGGACGGCUAACUACGUG
rnacentral:rRNA from 1 species